rnacentral:rRNA from 1 species
GACGAACGCUGGCGGCGUGCUUAACACAUGCGAGUCGAACGAUGAACCCGGAGCUUGCUCCGGCGGAUUAGUGGCGAACGGGUGAGUAACACGUGAGUAACCUGCCCUUGACUCUGGGAUAACUGCGGGAAACUGUAGCUAAUACCGGAUACGACCCUCGGCGGCAUCGCCAGGGGGUGGAAAGAAUUUCGGUCAAGGAUGGACUCGCGGCCUAUCAGCUAGUUGGUGAGGUAACGGCUCACCAAGGCGACGACGGGUAGCCGGCCUGAGAGGGUGACCGGCCACACUGGGACUGAGACACGGCCCAGACUCCGACGGGAGGCAGCAGGGGGGAAUAUUGCACAAUGGGCGCAAGCCUGAUGCAGCAACGCCGCGUGAGGGAUGACGGCCUUCGGGUUGUAAACCUCUUUUAGUAGGGAAGAAGCGAAAGUGACGGUACCUGCAGAAAAAGCACCGGCUAACUACGUGCCAGCCGCCGCCGUAA